UAAUUCGAUCUAGUAAUAUUGCCACGUGUCCAGUUCUCUAAACGCACCUUAUCAAUUACUCGGUGGGAUCAUGGGCUUUGACUGCGUGUUAUGCGAUUGGGCCAUGCAAAACUAUCAUUUCUGCUUUCCUUUCAAGUUCAGUUCUCAUUUCGAGUUAUCAUUACCUGUUGCAAGUUUUCAGUUUUUUCGUUGUUUCUAACAAUAAUUAUCUUUGUUCUAGAUUUACCUUAUAUAAAUAAAAUAGAUAUAUUUGUUUUGAAAAACACCA